rnacentral:rRNA from 1 species
GACGAACGCUGGCGGCGUGCUUAACACAUGCAAGUCGAACGGAAAGGCCUGCUUUCCCUUGUGGAUUGCGGGUACUCGAGUGGCGAACGGGUGAGUAACACGUGAGUGAUCUGCCCCCAACUUGGGUAUAAGCCUGGGAAACUGGGUCUAAUUCCCGAUAGGACUGCAGGGUGGUGCCUGUGGUGGAGAACGAUUUUCUAGUGGUUGGGGAUGAGCUGGCGGCCUAUCGGCUUGUUGGUGGGGUAGUGGACUACCAAGGCGGCGACCGGUAGCCGGCCUGGGAGGGUGGACGUCGACAUUGGGACUGAGACACGGCCCAGACUCCGACGGGAGGCAGCAGUGGGGAAUAUUGCACAAUGGGCGGAAGCCUGAUGCAGCGACGCCGCGUGGGGGAUGACGGCCUUCGGGUUGUAAACUCCUUUCGACCGCGAGGAAGCCACCUGGUUGGAAGGGUGGUGACGGUAGUGGUAGAAGAAGCACCGGCUAACUACGUG